GUGCCAGCAGCCGCGGUAAUACGUAGGUUCCGAGCGUUGCCCGGAUUUAUUGGGCGUAAAGCGAGCGCAGGCGGUUAGAUAAGUCUGAAGUUAAAGGCUGUGGCUUAACCAUAGUACGCUUUGGAAACUGUUUAACUUGAGUGCAAGAGGGGAGAGUGGAAUUCCAUGUGUAGCGGUGAAAUGCGUAGAUAUAUGGAGGAACACCGGUGGCGAAAGCGGCUCUCUGGCUUGUAGCUGACGCUGAGGCUCGAAAGCGUGGGGAGCAAAC
rnacentral:rRNA from 1 species